UACGUAGGGGGCUAGCGUUGUCCGGAUUUAUUGGGCGUAAAGAGCGUGUAGGCGGCCAGAUAGGUCUGCUGUGAAAACUCGAGGCUCAACCUCGAGCUGUCGGCGGAAACCAUUUGGCUAGAGUCCGGAAGAGGAGAGUGGAAUUCCUGGUGUAGCGGUGAAAUGCGCAGAUAUCAGGAAGAACACCUAUGGCGAAGGCAGCUCGCUGGGACGGUACUGACGCUGAGACGCGAAAGCGUGGGGAGCAAACAGG
rnacentral:rRNA from 1 species